UACGUAGGUGGCAAGCGUUACUCGGAAUCACUAGGCGUAAAGCGCAGGUAGGAGGUUUAGUAAGUCUGUUGUGAAAGCUCCCGGCUUAACUGGGAGAGGUCAACGGAAACUGCUAGGCUAGAGUGCGGUAGAGGAAGGUGGAAUUCCCGGUGUAGCGGUGAAAUGCGUAGAUAUCGGGAGGAAUACCUAUGGCGAAAGCAGCCUUCUGGACCGUCACUGACUCUGAUCUGCGAAAGCUAGGGGAGCAAACAGG
rnacentral:rRNA from 1 species